UACGUAGGCAGCAAGCGUUGUUCGGAGUUACUGGGCGUAAAGGGUGCGUAGGCGGCGCGGUAAGUCGGGUGUGAAAUCUUGGAGCUUAACUCCGAAACUGCAUUCGAUACUGCCGUGCUUGAGGACUGGAGAGGAGACUGGAAUUCAUGGUGUAGCAGUGAAAUGCGUAGAGAUCAUGAGGAAGACCAGUGGCGAAGGCGGGUCUCUGGACAGUUCCUGACACUGAGACACGAAGGCCAGGGGAGCAAACGGG
rnacentral:rRNA from 1 species